rnacentral:rRNA from 1 species
AGUGAACGCUGGCGGUAGGCCUAACACAUGCAAGUCGAACGGCAGCACAGUAAGAGCUUGCUCUUACGGGUGGCGAGUGGCGGACGGGUGAGGAAUACAUCGGAAUCUACUUUUUCGUGGGGGAUAACGUAGGGAAACUUACGCUAAUACCGCAUACGACCUACGGGUGAAAGCAGGGGAUCUUCGGACCUUGCGCGAUUGAAUGAGCCGAUGUCGGAUUAGCUAGUUGGCGGGGUAAAGGCCCACCAAGGCGACGAUCCGUAGCUGGUCUGAGAGGAUGAUCAGCCACACUGGAACUGAGACACGGUCCAGACUCCUACGGGAGGCAGCAGUGUGGAAUAUUGGACAAAGGGCGCAAGCCUGAUCCAGCCAUACCGCGUGGGUGAAGAAGGCCUUCGGGUUGUAAAGCCCUUUUGUUGGGAAAGAAAAGCAGCAGGUUAAUACCCCGCUGUUCUGACGGUACCCAAAGAAUAAGCACCGGCUAACUUCGUG